AAUCUGUAGUCUUGGAGCCACACUGGGUUGGUGGUACCCUGGAGCACACCAGACUGGCAGAAAAAGCAGACAUCAGAGGAAGCUGAGGGAUACCUGCUCAAGCGCCAGUGGUUCCAUGUGCAAUUUUCCUCUAAUAGUUCUUAGGUUCAUUGAUUUCAGCUAAAUCAGAGGGACAAGCAUCAUGAACAGAAAUGUAUAGAAGGGCUGUUAUGCUGAAGUAUAAGU
rfam:Otolemur garnettii contig042990, whole genome shotgun sequence.